rnacentral:rRNA from 1 species
CAAGGAAUUUUCCGCAAUGGGCGCAAGCCUGACGGAGCAACGCCGCGUGCCGGAAGACGGCCUUCGGGUUGUAAACGGCUUUUGUCGGGGAAGAGAAGGACGGUACCCGACGAAUAAGCCCCGGCUAACUCCGUGCCAGCAGCCGCGGUAAGACGGAGGGGGCAAGCGUUGUCCGGACUCACUGGGCGUAAAGCGUGCGUAGGCGGUACGGAGCGUCGCUACUGAAAGCUCCCGGCUUAACUGGGAGAGGUGUGGCGAUACGACCGAACUAGAGGCAGGGAGAGGUGCGCGGAAUUCCGGGUGUAGUGGUGAAAUGCGUAGAGAUCCGGAGGAACGUCGGUGGCGUAAGCGGCGCACUGGUCCUGACCUGACGCUGAGGCACGAAAGCGUGGGGAGCGAACC